UUCCUACGGGUGGCAGCAGUGGGGAAUAUUGGACAAUGGGCGCAAGCCUGAUCCAGCCAUGCCGCGUGAGUGAUGAAGGCCCUAGGGUUGUAAAGCUCUUUCACCGGUGAAGAUAAUGACGGUAACCGGAGAAGAAGCCCCGGCUAACUUCGUGCCAGCAGCCGCGGUAAUACGAAGGGGGCUAGCGUUGUUCGGAAUUACUGGGCGUAAAGCGCACGUAGGCGGAUAUUUAAGUCAGGGGUGAAAUCCCGGGGCUCAACCCCGGAACUGCCUUUGAUACUGGGUAUCUAGAGUCCAGAAGAGGUGAGUGGAAUUCCGAGUGUAGAGGUGAAAUUCGUAGAUAUUCGGAGGAACACCAGUGGCGAAGGCGGCUCACUGGUCUGGUACUGACGCUGAGGUGCGAAAGCGUGGGGAGCAAACAGGAUUAGAUACCCCGGUAGUCUA
rnacentral:rRNA from 1 species